GGCCCAGUGGCCUAGUGGAGACAGCAUCAGCAUCUGGAGCUGAGUGUUGUAGUGGGUUUGAAUCCCAUGUGGGUCA
rnacentral:tRNA from 1 species